UACAGAGGGUGCAAGCGUUGUUCGGAAUCACUGGGCGUAAAGCGCGUGUAGGCGGUUUUCUAAGUCAGGUGUGAAAUCCCCCGGCUUAACCGGGGAAGUGCGCCUGAAACUGGGAGGCUUGAGUAUCGGAGAGGAAAGGGGAAUUCCCGGUGUAGAGGUGAAAUUCGUAGAUAUCGGGAGGAACACCGGCGGCGAAGGCGCCUUUCUGGUCGAUCACUGACGCUGAGACGCGAAAGCGUGGGGAGCAAACAGG
rnacentral:rRNA from 1 species